ACAAACCUAACCACAACUCCUGUCGAAGGAUAUCUUGGCUCCCGCAACGAUGAAGAACGCAGCGAAAUGCGAUACGUAAUGUGAAUUGCAGAAUUCAGUGAAUCAUCGAGACUUUGAACGCACAUGGCAUUUCCAAGUUUCGCUUGGAAGUAUGUUCCUUCGAGUGGAGUUC
rnacentral:rRNA from 2 species